ensembl:lncRNA
GGGUGGAGAAGAGGGGAAUGCAUACAGGCGUGGAUGGAUACCAGGCUGGAAAAGCCUUCAUCAUGUCCCAGGCCAGCUGUGGUGAUAUUCUUCUGCCCACCACAAGACCCCCACCCAGUGGCGGAUUUAGGUAUAUGGGCAUCCGCCCAGGGCAGCAUCUUGGCGGGGGCGGCACAGGGUGCCUGCACAAAAAUAUUUGGAACGUUAGCAUUUGUGCGAUUUUCUAUCGCUCAUUUGCACUCCACGUCAAUGAUAUCAUGUCACUGUGUGGGACUGUGCGUCAAUUAACCUUGUCGGAGUGGGCGCCCUGAUUCUAGUUUGUGAGCUAGGCAGGCUCCUGCCUGGGAAGGUCUCCCACUCAGAAGUACGAGAUGGGGAGGGGGCAGGUUGACCUCAGUCCUCCCCACUGGAAGCCCGAGGUAGGGAAUCUAUAAAAUAGCGCACCUCUAACUUUGUACAGUACUAAUGCAAUUAGUCAAAUCAGUCACACUAUGAAAUGUUACCAAAUAAACCACAAUUCAUUCAUAAUUUUAUGAAUAUAUAGUUUCACAAACAUAUUUUUGCAUUUUUUUUCUGGUUUGUGUGAAAUCGUCAAGAAUAAUAUAAAACCACUCUACACCACUGAGGUGAAUUGGUUUAGUCUUGACUCUUGGUUGACAGUGUUGGGGGAUGGGUAAUGUAUUGAUGCUCGAGUGCCAAAUCAACACAAAAUAAUAAGAAAAGGUCUAAGGCAUCAGGUGCCCAGUUUAGGACAAAGAGGAAAGAAGAAGAGGAGAAAUGUGCAAAAGAUAAAGAUACGCAGCUACGUCAUCUCUUUAUGAGUAUAAUAUUAUGCAUGUUAUGAAAUAGGCUAGCGUAACACUUAAUGUUUGUUAUCCUAUGUUGCUUGCUUAUGUUGCUUGCUAUGUUAUUACACAGGGCGACAAUAUUCUGUUUUCUGUCCAACUAGCUUGGAUAUAAUUUCACACAAUUUCACCAUGAUAAUGUGUGUAGCGUGCAGCAAAACGAUUACGACCUAACUAGCACAUUAUUGAUUUGGUUAACUUUCAUUGAGGUGACAUCGUAAAGGUUUUCUGUGAUUGUUUUGACUAGGUCCUAAGCUCAGUAAGGAAUUUCCAAUGCUGUAGGAUAACUUAAAACACGAUAUUUUGUAUCUUUUGUGAUAUAUUGAGUCUUUUGGGGUGUUUUAUGCCUAGAAUUAGCCAAGGAGGUUGUAUGGUUCAUUUGGUUCCUAUUCUGAAAGUUUGAUAAGUUGUGCAUAAUGACAUGUAUAUUUAAUUGUGCAACACAUGUAUUUAGGGUGUCAAGAUUCAUAUACUGUAAUUCAAUGCAAAUUCAGGGGCACUUCUGAAAUAUUUUGGAGCACCCUCUGGCACUGGCCAGGAUGAGGAGGCAUCUACCUCCUCAGCCACACAGGCCUCUUCAGAAAUGAUCUCGGAGCCUCAGGAGGAGGAGCCAUCUACCUCCUCAGCCACACAGGCCUCUUCAGAAAUGAUCUCAGAGCAUCAGGAUGAGGAGCCAUCCACCUCCUCAGCCACGCAGGUGUCUUCAGAAAUGAUCUCGGAGCCAUCCAACUCCUCAAAUGUUGUCUGAGUCUGACGAUGAAGAGCCAUUUGCUUCCACUUCUCCCCAGCAGGAUUCUUCAGAAAUGCCUGUAGCAGCAUUCCCACCAAACCCUGCUGCUGAGGAUGAACCACUGUCUACAGACCCUGCUGUUGAGGAUGAACCACUGUCUACAGACCCUGCUGCUCAGGAUGAACCACUGUCUACAGACCUUGCUGCUGAGGAUAAACCACUGUCUACAGACCCUGCUGUUGAGGAUGAACUACUGUCUACAGACCCUGCUGUUGAGGAUGAACUACUGUCUACAGACCCUGCUGUUGAGGAUGAACCACUCUCUACAGACCCUGCUGCUGAGGAUGAAUCACUGUCUACAGACCCUGCUGCUGAGGAUGAAUCACUGUCUACAGACCCUGCUGCUGAGGAUGAACCACUGUCUACAGACCCUGCUGCUGAGGAUGAAUCACUGUCUACAGACCCUGCUGCUGAGGAUGAACCACUGUCUACAGACCCUGCUGCUGAGGAUGAACCACUGUCUGAUGACCCUACUGACUGGCCUUCAGUUCUGACUGACAGAAUUCAGACACAACUAGUUUGCAGAGGACCAAGUGAGGUACCACCUGACUUUUUUUCCCCCCAAGGAAUGAGAGUGAUGGAAGAAGUUGCCACCACCAGUAUUUCAGGAAGACCUUGGUGAGUGGUGAAAAAAAUCCCUAGAAGUUGGUUGGUGCAUUCUGAAAGAAAAACAACAGCCUCUUCUGUUUCUGCUGCAAACUCUUUUCUGAGAAGAAAAUGUAUUUAGAAAACUCAGGACUGACAGACUGGAAACAUGCAAGUUCUUUGCUGACUUCACGCGACAGCAGUCCAGAACACCAAAACUGCAUGAAAACAUGGAAAAAACAAUGAGGAUCAAAAAAGGGGAAACAAUUGAUAAGCAUGAGAUGGCCCUUAUGGAGGCUGAGAGGAUAAGAUGGAGAGAGGUGUUGACAUGUCUGACUGCUAUUGUGCAGUCUCUGGCAAUUAGAAAUCUGGCACUAAGGGGACACACAGAAACACUGUACUGUGUUUUUCUGUUAGCAAUAGGUUAAUAGUGUAAUAAUUAAAUUCUCUUUUUUAUUUGUAUUUAUAUACUACAGUUUGUUUCUAUUAGUCUUUGUUACUUAUUUUUGAUAUUUAUGUGUAUUUUUGUAUGUGUUUUAAUAGUUAUAUAGUUUUAAAUGUUAUGAUUAUUUAUUUGUGUUGUUCCAAAUGUCUAAAUAAAAAUCACAGUUAGUGCAGAAUGGAGGUGUUAUAAUACCCAUAAAACCUCGCUGUCAAACAGGGAAA